rnacentral:rRNA from 1 species
UACGGGGGGGGCAAGCGUUGUUCGGAAUUACUGGGCGUAAAGGGCUCGUAGGCGGCCAACUAAGUCAGACGUGAAAUCCCUCGGCUUAACCGGGGAACUGCGUCUGAUACUGGAUGGCUUGAGAUUGGGAGAGGGAUGCGGAAUUCCAGGUGUAGCGGUGAAAUGCGUAGAUAUCUGGAGGAACACCGGUGGCGAAGGCGGGUCUCUGGGCCGAUAUCGACGCUGAGGAGCGAAAGCGUGGGGAGCGAACAGG